GUAGGUGGCAAGCGUUGUCCGGAAUUAUUGGGCGUAAAGCGCGCGCAGGUGGUUCUUUAAGUCUGAUGUGAAAGCCCCCGGCUCAACCGGGGAGGGUCAUUGGAAACUGGGGAACUUGAGUGCAGGAGAGGAAAGUGGAAUUCCACGUGUAGCGGUGAAAUGCGUAGAUAUGUGGAGGAACACCAGUGGCGAAGGCGACUUUCUGGCCUGUAACUGACACUGAGGCGCGAAAGCGUGGGGAGCAAGCAGGGAUUAGAUACCCUGGUAGUCCACGCCGUAAACGAUGAGUGCUAAGUGUUGGGGGGGUUUCCCGCCCCUCAGUGCUGCAGCUAACGCAUUAAGCACUCCGCCUGGGGAGUACGGUCGCAAGACUG
rnacentral:rRNA from 1 species